GCGUGAGCGAGCUCGCAGUGCUGCUUAUAUAAUAUACGCGAACGUGCACUGAAGAGAUUAGAUUAUCUCCGCACUCUGGUUCUUACUGAUUUAAUUAUUAGUCUAUUAUUUAUAAUGACGAACUGCAAUAAACGUGGCCCACCGGACAACUACCCUAAAUUGUCAAAGCGCUUCAAAUCAGCCGAUGGAUCUAUUGUUACGUCGACGAUGAAGCGUAAUUCAAAACUGAGCUCUGGUCGAAGAGGAGCAGCGUAGGAUCCGGGAACUUUACCGCUCUACAGCUAAGUCGCCAGAAAUGAGUGAUCCGAUUAGACCAUGCGAACCAACCCUCGACGAGAUGCCGUUAUCUCGCUGCACCGUAGAUCUAAAUAAUAAAAUGCUAGGUUCUCUUCAUCUAGUGUCGCAUUCCAUUAGUGAAAAAAAAAGGGGAUCAUUGAUUACAAUUUAUUUUUAUGGACCAAGGACACCUUCAAGUCCACUGACAUCAAUAAAUUGCCUAAAAAUCCGCAUUUUUUAAUUUUUUUAUUUAUGUGUAUAAAAGACUAAUAAAAAAUAUAAUAAUCCAAAA